rnacentral:rRNA from 1 species
AUUGAACGCUGGCGGCAUGCCUUACACAUGCAAGUCGAACGGCAGCGGGCCUUCGGGUGCCGGCGAGUGGCGAACGGGUGAGUAAUGCAUCGGAACGUGCCAUUGAGUGGGGGGAUAACGUAGCGAAAGUUACGCUAAUACCGCAUAUUCUGUGAGCAGGAAAGCAGGGGACCGCAAGGCCUUGCGCUCUUUGAGCGGCCGAUGUCAGAUUAGCUAGUUGGUGAGGUAAAGGCUUACCAAGGCGACGAUCUGUAGCGGGUCUGAGAGGAUGAUCCGCCACACUGGAACUGAGACACGGUCCAGACUCCUACGGGAGGCAGCAGUGGGGAAUUUUGGACAAUGGGCGCAAGCCUGAUCCAGCCAUGCCGCGUGAGUGAAGAAGG